AAGGAUCAUUCAUAAUAAUAGAGUUAUUUAUGGCGCUCUAAAAAAAAAAACCAUUCCACCUUGUGUGAAAUGUUAAAUUCCUUGUCCAUCAUUGUUCAAGGUUUUUUUUAUAUCAACUCAUUUUUUAUAAAAAAAAAACUGUCUGAAAAAAUCGUUAUGAAUUUACUUAAUUCAAAACACAACUUUCAACAACGGAUCUCUUGGCUCUC
rnacentral:misc_RNA from 1 species